UGGGGAAUAUUGCACAAUGGGAGCAAGCCUGAUGCAGCCAUGCCGCGUGUAUGAAGAAGGCCUUCGGGUUGUAAAGUACUUUCAGCGAGGAGGAAGGCGUUGUGGUUAAUAACCGCAACGAUUGACGUUACUCGCAGAAGAAGCACCGGCUAACUCCGUGCCAGCAGCCGCGGUAAUACGGAGGGUGCAAGCGUUAAUCGGAAUUACUGGGCGUAAAGCGCACGCAGGCGGUCUGUCAAGUCGGAUGUGAAAUCCCCGGGCUCAACCUGGGAACUGCAUCCGAAACUGGCAGGCUAGAGUCUUGUAGAGGGGGGUAGAAUUCCAGGUGUAGCGGUGAAAUGCGUAGAGAUCUGGAGGAAUACCGGUGGCGAAGGCGGCCCCCUGGACAAAGACUGACGCUCAGGUGCGAAAGCGUGGGGAGCAAACA
rnacentral:rRNA from 1 species